rnacentral:rRNA from 1 species
GAUGAACGCUGGCGGCGUGCCUAAUACAUGCAAGUCGAGCGAACAGACGAGGAGCUUGCUCCUCUGACGUUAGCGGCGGACGAGUGAGUAACACGUGGAUAACCUACCUAUAAGACUGGGAUAACUUCGGGAGACCGGAGCUAAUACCGGAUAAUAUAUUGAACCGCAUGGUUCAAUAGUGAAAGACGGUUUUGCUGUCACUUAUAGAUGGAUCCGCGCCGCAUUAGCUAGUUGGUAAGGUAACGGCUUACCAAGGCAACGAUGCGUAGCCGACCUGAGAGGGUGAUCGGCCACACUGGAACUGAGACACGGUCCAGACUCCUACGGGAGGCAGCAGUAGGGAAUCUUCCGCAAUGGGCGAAAGCCUGACGGAGCAACGCCGCGUGAGUGAUGAAGGUCUUCGGAUCGUAAAACUCUGUUAUUAGGGAAGAACAAAUGUGUAAGUAACUAUGCACGUCUUGACGGUACCUAAUCAGAAAGCCACGGCUAACUACGUG